AUUGAACGCUGGCGGCAGGCCUAACACAUGCAAGUCGAGCGGAGCGGCGGACGGGUGAGUAAUGCCUAGGAAUCUGCCUGGUCGUGGGGGAUAACGUCCGGAAACGGGCGCUAGUACCGCAUACUAGCAGAUGAGCCUGGGUCGGAUUAGCUAGUUGGUGGGGUAAAGGCCUACCAAGGCGACGCUCCGUAACUGGGCUGAGAGGAUGAGCAGUCACACUGGAACUGAGACACGGUCCAGACGCCUACGGGAGGCAGCAGUGGGGAAUAUUGGACAAUGGGCGAAAGCCUGACCCAGCCAUGCCGCGUGUGUGAAGAAGGGCUUCGGAUUGUAAAGCACUUUAAGUUGGGAGGCGUUACUAUCAGAAUAAGCACCGGCUAACUUCGUGCCAGCCGCCGCGGUAAUUC
rnacentral:rRNA from 1 species